rnacentral:ribozyme from 1 species
AAAAAAGCUCACACCACAAACAAGAAAGAAUUGAAGAAAGAAAAAACAUCUCACAAAUGGCUACAUUGUUUUUUUUUCUUGGCCCUUUAAUCAAGUUAUUUUCCUUUCUUUUUUUUUUUUUUAAAUGCUGAGAGUAAUGUUUUAAAUAAAAAGAA